CUGAGUCCUCCCUUGUUAAAUCCCCGUUCCAUUCAUGCCCACUCUCACCACAACCAGCCGCCGCCACCACAGCUCCUCCAUUUGCAUCUCAGUCAGCUCCAAGGAAGGAAGCGGUCAGCCAUAUCCGGCCGCGGCAAGGGCGGGAAGGGGCUGGGCAAGGGCGGCGCCAAGCGCCACCGGAAGGUGCUGCGCGACAACAUCCAGGGCAUCACCAAGCCGGCCAUCCGUCGUCUUGCCCGCAGGGGCGGCGUGAAGCGCAUCUCGGGGCUCAUCUACGAGGAGACCCGUGGCGUGCUCAAGAUCUUCCUCGAGAACGUCAUCCGCGACGUCGUCACCUACACAGAGCACGCCCGCCGCAAGACCGUCACCGCCAUGGACGUCGUCUACGCGCUCAAGCGCCAGGGACGCACCCUCUACGGAUUCGGCGGCUGA
rnacentral:rRNA from 1 species